CUUAAAGGUAAAGCUACCCCAUGACAAGUAGGAAGCAAUGGACUUCGUGUCCUGUAGUGGAAAGAUCCCUACAGGUAUCCAACUGAAAAAUCUCUUCAGCUCAUCAGUGAAAAAUCACUAUCCACUCUGAGGGCACACAUGGACUUGGGACUUUGGCUUAUGCCCAUAGUAUGUAACCUGACCUCCAUAAUUUUGAAAAUGUCAUGUGAUGAGUGCCAGAAAGAUUACUGAGUUUCCUUUGGAGGGUAAGCUUCCUGAUGAAUCAACACUAUUUCUUCAAGAAUAACUGAUACGGUCUUUAUUACUUAUGAGGUACUCCAGAAAGAAUUUUAUCAUUCUCGGAACAUUUGAACCUCUCUAACAUAUCCUAUGCACAAUCCCCUUCCCCAUAUUUUGAACUAUGCCCUACAUACCGUUUUCUAAUAAAUAAUUAUGUACUUAGUUCCACGUUUCCUUCUUCCUUUGGUUGCUGCUGUUGCCUGAUCAAAAAAUUCAUCUGCAGCUUCUUUUUUACAAGAGCUUUUGUUUUGUUCUUUCUCCUUUUAUCUUCACCUAGAGAAAUGCAAAAAAUU